GUGGUUGGUAGGUGGGUGGGUUGUUUUUGAUAUUUGGUGUUGGUUGGCUCGAUAAUUGACCUAGUUUUUUCCUCAAGAAAAACUCAGCUAACUGACUUAUUUGUGCUUCUAACUUGACGAUGGAUUACUUUUGGGUCAUAAUCAUUUGUUGAAUUUGGCUAAACCUAUCAUCGACUAAAGGGGUUUGUUAAGGAGGUGGGUAUAAUGGCUGAUUAUGAUAUGAUAGCUAGGUAGGCUGACUAGACUGACCUCUAUUACAGAAAAAAUUUUGGUAUUGGGGCUUAUUUUGAAAGUUUUGCACAAAAGAAAUUUAGAUCUGAGCCUGAGUCUAUUGAGGUCUCCAAGAAAAAUUAGGGUAGUUCCUUCAAUCUUGAUUAUAUAUAUUUAAAAAUGGAUCAUUGACAGGCUUGGAAUAACCUUGAGUAGCUUGAACUUAUUCUUGGAUGAAAGGUAAAAACUGUAC
rnacentral:lncRNA from 1 species